rnacentral:rRNA from 1 species
UACGUAGGGUGCAAGCGUUGUCCGGAAUUAUUGGGCGUAAAGAGCUCGUAGGCGGUCUGUCGCGUCUGCUGUGAAAACUCGGGGCUUAACCCCGGGCCUGCAGUGGGUACGGGCAGACUAGAGUGCGGUAGGGGAGACUGGAAUUCAUGGUGUAGCAGUGAAAUGCGUAGAGAUCAUGAGGAAGACCAGUGGCGAAGGCGGGCCUCUGGACAGUUCCUGACACUGAGACACGAAGGCCAGGGGAGCAAACGGG